CGAGGCAGAAAUGCGUAGUCGAUGGGAAACAGGUCAAUAUUCCUGUACCGAUUCUAGAUGCGAUGUGGGGACGGAGAAGGUUAGGUCAGCCAUCUGUUGGAAUAGGUGGUUUAAGCGUGUAGGCGUGCCCCUUAGGCAAAUCCGGGGGGCUUAGCUGAGGCGUGACGACGAGGUCUCUUUGAGACCGAAGUGAUUGAUACCCUGCUUCCAGGAAAAGCCACUAAGCUUCAGUCUAGAAUUGACCGUACCGCAAACCGACACAGGUGGGCAGGUAGAAGAUACUAAGGCGCUUGAGAGAACUCAGGAGAAGGAACUCGGCAAAUUGAUACCGUAACUUCGGGAGAAGGUAUGCCCCUGUAGCUUGUAGGAGAACAUCCGAAGGGCGACGGGGCCGCAGAGAAUCGGUGGCUGCGACUGUUUAUUAAAAACACAGCACUCUGCAAACACGAAAGUGGACGUAUAGGGUGUGACGCCUGCCCGGUGCCGGAAGGUUAAGUGAUGGGGUGCAAGCUCUUGAUCGAAGCCCCGGUAAACGGCGGCCGUAACAAUAACGGUCCUAAGGUAGCGAAAUUCCUUGUCGGGUAAGUUCCGACCUGCACGAAUGGCGUAACGAUGGCCACACUGUCUCCUCCUGAGACUCAGCGAAGUUGAAGUGUUUGUGAAGAUGCAAUCUCCCCGCGGCUAGACGGAAAGACCCCAUGAACCUUUACUGUAGCUUUGCAUUGGACUUUGACGGGACUUGUGUAGGAUAGGUGGGAGGCGAUGAGACCGGGACGCUAGUUCCGGAGGAGCCGUCCUUGAAAUACCACCCUGGUGUCGUUGAGGUUCUAACCUAGGUCUGUGAAUCCAGAUCGGGGACCGUGCAUGGUAGGCAGUUUGACUGGGGCGGUCUCCUCCCAAAAGGCAACGGAGGAGUACGAAGGUCUUCUAGGUACGGUCGGACAUCGUACUGAUAGUGCAAUGGCAAAAGAAGGCUUGACUGCGAGACCGACAAGUCGAGCAGGUGCGAAAGCAGGUCAUAGUGAUCCGGUGGUUCUGUAUGGAAGGGCCAUCGCUCAACGGAUAAAAGGUACUCUGGGGAUAACAGGCUGAUUCCGCCCAAGAGUUCACAUCGACGGCUGAGUUUGGCACCUCGAUGUCGGCUCAUCACAUCCUGGGGCUGUAGCCGGUCCCAAGGGUAUGGCUGUUCGCCAUUUAAAGUGGUACGUGAGCUGGGUUUAAAACGUCGUGAGACAGUUUGGUCCCUAUCUGCCGUGGGCGCUGGAUAUUUGAGGGGGCCUGCUCCUAGUACGAGAGGACCGGAGUGGACGAAUCUCUGGUGUACCGGUUGUGACGCCAGUCGCAUCGCCGGGUAGCUAAAUUCGGAAGAGAUAACCGCUGAAAGCAUCUAAGCGGGAAACUCGCCUCAAGAUGAGAUAUCCCUGGGAACUUGAUUCCCCUGAAGGGUCGUU
rnacentral:rRNA from 1 species